CAGUGUCCUCGGUUUUCCUGCUGACGAAUAUCUCAUAUGAUAUAUGACUAACCAUGUAAUUCAGACUGAGUGGAGGCCAAUAUAUUUUACAAAUUAAAUAAUUAUGUUGUCUCUUAACCUCAUCACUUAGUGAGAGAGAAGUUCUUGAUCCCUGUGGACAAGAUCACUGUGAAAGAUGAUUCUGGCACUGAGGUGGAUGAAUCUGUGUUUGCAGAAUUAUCCACAGUGGAAGGGAUUUGUUUUGUUAUCAAGGACAGUCGUGCCAAUGGUAUAUUUUAAAAAUUGCUUCAUUUCACAUUGCAUUAAUAGGAGUGCUUAUUUCAAAUGCAUCCAUUGCAAUGAAUUUAUUGCCUUACAACCCUAACCCAGUAUUAGAACUAGCAUAUGAAGUAUUAAGACUCCUGUUGGAAACAGGUUUAACUUGAAGUAAAAAUUGAUCGCUUAAAAAACAAGGAAUGUUUUUAUAGCACCAACUAGGGCAUAGUUUUUAGCUGUUUGUGGACAUUCAUAAAUGGCCAAAGCAGAUGUUUUCUUUUGAAUUAAUAACUGUUCAGUCUGGACAGAUAUAAGCAGAGUUUCUUGCAUGGCUGGUAGCAGGGGUCAUGCCCAGUUUUUCAUUCCAAAAUUUGAUCCACAACUACAGUGCAAAUAAGGUGAAUUGUUCAUUAUAUCUUUUAUUCUUAGAUUCAGGAAAAUCUCAGUCGUCACCUCCAUCCACACCACUACCCCAUCCAGUGGGAGUUUCCUUUGUGUCCAGCAGCAGCAGUGACAGUGAAACGUCAAGACAUCCCAAGCGAAUUAGAAGUGAUGAAGAGGCAUUGCAGAGUUCUUCAGCCAGAUAUCAUCCAAAGGUCUCUGCACGGCCCUGGUCUUAGGGACUUGUCGUUUACUACGUUUUCUUGUCGUCUCUUCGGACUAAAGACUCAGAAAUAAUCAGUCUCAUGUGACUGAAUGGAAAUGACUAUAAAUGAUGUAAAAAGUGUUUCUUCAUGACGGAUUCUCUGACUUUGUCUCCAAUAAUAAUAAAGGUUAUGGAAGAAA